CCUACGGGAUGCUGCAGUGAGGAAUAUUGGUCAAUGGCCGGAAGGCUGAACCAGCCAUGCCGCGUGAAGGUCAGUGCCCUAUGGGCGUUAAACUUCUUUUGUGCGGGAGCAAUAAUGGUCACGUGUGGCCAGACGAGAGUACCGUACGAAUAAGCAUCGGCUAACUUCGUGCCAGCAGCCGCGGUAAUACGGGGGAUGCAAGCGUUAUCCGGAUUUAUUGGGUUUAAAGGGUGCGUAGGCUGUGAGGUAAGUCAGCGGUGAAAUGCCCCCGCUCAACGGGGUGAAGUGCCAUUGAUACUGCCUGGCUUGAAUGCGGAUGCCGUAGGAGGAAUGUGUGGUGUAGCGGUGAAAUGCAUAGAUAUCACACAGAACACCGAUUGCGAAGGCAUCUCACGAAUCCGCGAUUGACGCUGAUGCACGAAAGCGUGGGUAUCAAACAGGAUUAGAUACCCGUGUAGUC
rnacentral:rRNA from 1 species